rnacentral:rRNA from 1 species
GAAAUGCGAUAAGUAAUGUGAAUUGCAGAAUUCAGUGAAUCAUCGAAUCUUUGAACGCACCUUGCGCUCCUUGGCAUUCCGAGGAGCAUGCCUGUUUGAGUGUCAUGA